AGUAUGGAUAUGUUGUGUUGUCUAUUUUAUAAUUAUUUUGUUUUCAGUAAAUUAUUUAUACAGUUGUUGUUAUUAAUAUUUGUAAACUCGUUUAGAAUUAUGGGAACUGUUUCAAUUAAUUUUAAUGUUCCAAAGUGUUGAAGCAGGGAUGAAUAUGAAUUCACAUAUUGUGACUUGGCAAGACUUUUUUUCUGGAUUAGGUUUUAAAAAUAAUGUUAUAUGUUUAAGUUUAAAAUCUGAGGCACAAAGACAAUCCUUGUCUUAAUUAAGAGGCUUGUAAAUAUAAUUAUUAUAUUAUUCACUUGUAAGCAUAAUUGCACUGUAUGUAUUUCAAAACAUAAUCAGAUGUAUGAAAACAUAUUAUAUACAUAUAACAUAUUUUUUGAAAUGAACUGUUUGUAAACUUUUAUUUUUCUUACAUUACCAGGUAAUAUGAUUAUUUUGAAAUAUGCAUACACAUAUUCAUUUCUUUUUAGAGUCAGAUCACAAUUUUAUGAGUAAAAAAUAGAAUUUAGAAAACAUAAAAAAAUAUAGUUAAAUUGGCAUGCCUUAAAACGUGAGAUUUGGUGUUCUCUACAAGACAUGUUAUAAUUUGUAGUUGUUAAUGAGUUACAAGUUUUUAUUUAUUUAUUUAUCUUCUUUAAUAUUUAUUUGUAAC
rnacentral:lncRNA from 1 species